UACGGAGGGGGCUAGCGUUGUUCGGAAUUACUGGGCGUAAAGCGCACGUAGGCGGCUUUGCAAGUUAGAGGUGAAAGCCCGGGGCUCAACUCCGGAUCUGCGGUGGGUACGGGCAGACUGGAGGUAUGCAGGGGAGAACGGAAUUCCUGGUGUAGCGGUGAAAUGCGCAGAUAUCAGGAGGAACACCGGUGGCGAAGGCGGGUCUCUGGGCAGUAACUGACGCUGAGGAGCGAAAGCGUGGGGAGCGAACAGG
rnacentral:rRNA from 1 species